AGAGUUUGAUCCUGGCUCAGAUUGAACGCUGGCGGCAGGCCUAACACAUGCAAGUCGAACGGUAACAGGAUUAGCUUGCUAAUCGCUGACGAGUGGCGGACGGGUGAGUAAUGCUUGGGAACUUGCCUUUGCGAGGGGGAUAACAGUUGGAAACGACUGCUAAUACCGCAUAACGUCUACGGACCAAACGGGGCUUAGGCUCCGGCGCAAAGAGAGGCCCAAGUGAGAUUAGCUAGUUGGUAAGGUAAAGGCUUACCAAGGCAACGAUCUCUAGCUGUUCUGAGAGGAAGAUCAGCCACACUGGAACUGAGACACGGUCCAGACUCCUACGGGAGGCAGCAGUGGGGAAUAUUGCACAAUGGGGGAAACCCUGAUGCAGCCAUGCCGCGUGUGUGAAGAAGGCCUUCGGGUUGUAAAGCACUUUCAGUUGUGAGGAAAAGUUAGUAGUUAAUACCUGCUAGCCGUGACGUUAACAACAGAAGAAGCACCGGCUAACUCCGUGCCAGCAGCCGCGGUAAUACGGAGGGUGCGAGCGUUAAUCGGAAUUACUGGGCGUAAAGCGCACGCA
rnacentral:rRNA from 1 species